rnacentral:rRNA from 1 species
UACAGAGGUCUCGAGCGUUGUUCGGAUUCAUUGGGCGUAAAGGGUGCGUAGGUGGCGCUGUAAGUCGGGUGUGAAAUCCUGAGGCUUAACCUCGGAACUGCAUUCGAUACUGCGGCGCUUGAGGACUGGAGAGGAGACUGGAAUUCAUGGUGUAGCAGUGAAAUGCGUAGAGAUCAUGAGGAAGACCAGUGGCGAAGGCGGG